rnacentral:rRNA from 1 species
GAUGAACGCUAGCUACAGGCUUAACACAUGCAAGUCGAGGGACCGGCGCACGGGUGAGUUACACGUAUCCCACCUGCCCUUUACUCGGGGAUAGCCUUUCGAAAGAAAGAUUAAUACCCGACAUAAAGGAUGGGGAUGCGUUCCGUUAGGUUGUGGGGGAGGUAACGGCUCACCAAGCCUUCGAUGGAUAGGCGUUCUGAGAGGAAGGUCCCCCAGAAUGGAACGGAGGGACGGUCCAAACUCCUACGGGAGGAAGGAGUGAGAGAUAAUAGUGAAUGGACGCUAGCCGGAGCCAUCCAAGUAGCGUGAAGGAGGAAGUCUUAUGUGUCGUAAUCUUCUUGUAUAUAAGAAUAUGUAUUAUAUGAAUAAGGCUCGGCCAACUCCGUGCCAGCAGCCGCGGUAAUAC